UACGUAGGGGGCAAGCGUUGUCCGGAUUUAUUGGGCGUAAAGAGCGUGUAGGCGGCCAUACAGGUCCGUUGUGAAAACUGGAGGCUUAACCUCCAGACGUCGAUGGAAACCGUAUGGCUAGAGUCCGGAAGAGGAGAGUGGAAUUCCCGGUGUAGCGGUGAAAUGCGCAGAUAUCGGGAGGAACACCAGUAGCGAAGGCGGCUCGCUGGGCCAUUCCUGACGCUGAGACGCGAAAGCUAGGGGAGCGAACGAGG
rnacentral:rRNA from 1 species